rnacentral:tRNA from 1 species
GCAGAGUUGUCCGAGCUGGCCGAAGGAGCACGAUUGGAAAUCGUGUAGUGCUUCAACGAGUACUCGAGGGUUCAAAUCCCUCACUCUGCGCCA